GUGCUAUAGGAGAUAAGGAGUUUCUUAUUUACUAUUCUGGCAUUCUGAGAAGUUGUUCCAUGGGAAGAAGGAGCUCCAGUUUCAUGAUGCAUACGAAGAGAUUAUCCACCAGGUAUAUUUCACUUGCGCGAGGAGCUCCAUUUGAUGAAACAGGUUAAGGCAUCAUCCACCAUGUAUAUUUUGCUUCUGCAUAAGCUUCAACCAGUUUUAUCUACAAUUGUCUUUAUUUUUGUCUCCAAUAUAUCUUAUUUGCUGGCUACGAAGUACCAGUUGAUAUAUCACUUGUAUUACUUUCCGGAUUGUCCGGCUGCCAAAUCCACAUUUCUCGCUCUACGGACAUGCCAAGGCAUCAUCCGCCAUGUAUAUUUUGCUUCUGCAUAAGCUUCCAUCAGUUUAAUCUACAUUGGUCUUCAUUUUCUCACAAGAUAUUUUUCUCCCAACGGCGUCUGUUCAGCCACAAUGGACUUUGAUUGUUGAAUACUCAAAAACUUCUUGCAUUCAUCAGAGCCAGCUCCAAAAAAGAGAGGUAAUCACACAUAUCAUACCUUGUCGAUAUCAUUAUUUUAUGAAAACACAUGAAAGUUAGUGGCAUGGUUAUUGAGUUGCUGUAUAGUCGCGGUAUAGUCGCUGUAUAGUCACCGAGUCGUUUUCCAAAAAUGGUGGCGACUCGCGACUAUACAGCGACUUAUGGCGACUAUACAUGUUUUUUGGUCGAUUAUACAUGAGUCGCAGGGUUUGGCGACUCACUUUUGAGUCGCGACUCAAAAACCAUGGUUAGUGGUAAUGCUUGAUGUGUGAGUGCAUUUCCUAAUACUUUUCAUUGAAUUAAUCAUUCUUUGAUGUGCUUUAUGCUAUUUGGUUGUUCUUUCUCCAAACAAAAUAGAUAAAAAAUGUCUAUCUUGGAGGCACAGAGUUAUUUGAGAAUGUCUUUUUGGGAGCACCUAUUUGGUGAAAAAGGUUUGUGGUUUGUUUCUCCACUCUUAUAUACAGUUUAAUUCAUCCUCCAAAUAAUUCGUCAUGGCUCAUUUGUACACACUACCAUACUACUUUUAGUUUCUGAAAAAAUACUCUCUUGUUGUUUAAAUGCUUUAGUGAUCAUCUUAAUAUCAAUUACUGCUGAUAAGCUGCUGUGCAAAUAAUUAAUAACUUCACCUGUUAUGGUAAGUUCGCUGGUCCCAGAUAUUCCUAAAAUGCUAAAUCAUUUGUUUGGUUGAUGUAGAUUUUAGUUUUUGUUUAUUGUCCGUAUUGAUAAUAGUAAUAGAAUUGUUGAACUUUCUUCCAAAACUAAAUUAUUAUCUCUUCUGAAGUUCAAGGUUUACCGACGAUGUCUCUUUUUGAAGUUACACCCGUGCAUAUGGAGGUCUGCUCUUUCAGUAUAAUUGCUCAAGCUCUUCGCCAAGCAUGUCUUGCUUUUGUAGCUAUUUUCAAUUUAUGUUGCAAAAUGCUGCAAAAUGUAAACAUGUACAUAUUCUUUUGUAAUACGUUCUGGUUGCUUCGCGCUCCAUAAUUUCAUGAUAUGUCUGUUCCA